rnacentral:rRNA from 1 species
GAGUUUGAUCAUGGCUCAGAUUGAACGCUGGCGGCACGCCUUACACAUGCAAGUCGAACGGCAGCACGGGAGCUUGCUCCUGGUGGCGAGUGGCGAACGGGUGAGUAAUGCAUCGGAACGUAUCCUGGAGUGGGGGAUAACGUGGCGAAAGUUACGCUAAUACCGCAUAUUCUGUGAGCAGGAAAGCGGGGGACCUUCGGGCCUCGCGCUCUUGGAGUGGCCGAUGUCGGAUUAGCUAGUUGGUGAGGUAAAGGCUCACCAAGGCGACGAUCCGUAGCAGGUCUGAGAGGAUGAUCUGCCACACUGGAACUGAGACACGGUCCAGACUCCUACGGGAGGCAGCAGUGGGGAAUUUUGGACAAUGGGGGCAACCCUGAUCCAGCCAUGCCGCGUGAGUGAAGAAGGCCUCGG